AGGCCUAUAUAAAUUCAACUUCAAAUCCUAUUGCUGCAAUUACAUUCCAGGGAACAGUAAUAGGAGAUAAAAAUGCUCCUAUUGUUGCUUCAUUUUCUGCUCGAGGACCAAGCCGAGCAAACCCUGGCAUCUUAAAACCUGAUAUUAUUGGUCCUGGUGUUAAUAUCCUUGCUGAAAAGACGCAAGUAGUCUCACCAGUAGUCAAGGACGAAAUGUAAAGGACGCUGGUGGUGUUGGCAUGAUUCUCAUCAAUAAUCCGGAAGAUGGUGUCACUAAAUCAGCUACCGUUCAUGUACUUCCAGCAUUAGAUGUUUCACAUGAAGAUGGAGAGAAAAUUAAGGCCUAUAUAAAUUCAACUUCAAAUCCUAUUGCUGCAAUUGUAUUCCAGGGAACAGUAAUAGGAGAUAAAAAUGCUCCAAUUGUUGCUUCAUUUUCUACUCGAGGACCAAGCCGAGCAAAUCCUGGCGUCUUAAAACCUGAUAUUAUUGGUCCUGGUGUUAAUAUCCUUGCUGCUUGGCCUACGACCGUGAAUAUCCCCAACAAAAACACAAAUGCUGCAUUCAAUAUUCUAUCUGGUACCUCAAUGUCUUGCGCUCACCUUACUGGCAUAGC
rnacentral:lncRNA from 1 species